rnacentral:rRNA from 1 species
UACGGGGGGAGCAAGCGUUGUUCGGAUUUACUGGGCGUAAAGGGCGCGUAGGCGGCGCAACAAGUCACUUGUGAAAUCUCCGGGCUUAACCCGGAGCGGUCAAGUGAUACUGUCGUGCUAGAGUGCGGAAGGGGCAACUGGAAUUCUCGGUGUAGCGGUGAAAUGCGUAGAUAUCGAGAGGAACACCUGCGGCGAAGGCGGGUUGCUGGGCCGACACUGACGCUGAGGCGCGAAAGCUAGGGGAGCGAACAGG